CCCGUCGUGACGGGACGACAUGUGGUGCGCGUCGCGCACUGAAUCGCAAG
rfam:Halarchaeum acidiphilum MH1-52-1 DNA, contig: HAL010.